GUAAGUAUGGCUCUUGCGCUCAUGGAGCUUUUGCUGCCAUCGUGGAGACGGUGCACAUGUAGAGAUGAAAUGUAAUUAUAUUUCAUCGUAAGUGGUGGAAUCACCUGAGGGGCUGAGCAAGAAAAAUGUGGGAACCCAUUUUAGACUAUGUGGCCAGGAAAGGGUUUUCUGAGGAAGAAACACUUAUUGAGGCUGGAAAGAGAAAGAGCUGAAAGUAAAGGGAGAGGGCAGGAGUUCCAGGCAUCCUGACAUGCUGGGGCUUGAGAAAGGGGACGUUCUAGGUGUGGAGGGUCCCAAGUGAGGCGGGUGGGACUGGCGCGAUGGGAAAGGGAAGAACCCUGGGAUGGGGUGGGAGAGGCAGGCGGGGCUUCCCAGGGCAGGGUUAGGGUCUCCUUUUGGGUACAGGGAGGUGCAGGGGUGAGGCUGAAUCUGAUGUCUGUCUUGGAUCACUCUGGACAUAGGGAUUCGUUUGGAAGGUGCCAUCUGGGUGACAGACGGCAGGCAGCAGCCCUGGAGAGGAAGCUCCACCACAUGUCCCAGUCACUUUGGGGGCAGAGUCUCACGAACUGCCGACGGAGCUCUUCGUGGUCCCUCCCUCUUGCUGCAGUCAGCGCAUCUGCUUCCUGGGCCUGCUGUGGAGCUGGUCUGUCCUCUGCUCUCCCUUCUGUGUCCAUAGUCACAGCCUGUCAGCUGCCCUCGGGCAGUACGCACUCCAUAACCAGUCACUAAAUUAGAUCCAAUGGGGGAAGGCUGGGUGGUUGCCAGAGGACACAAAUAAUUAAACUUGUUAGUUCUUAAA